rnacentral:rRNA from 1 species
GUUGAUCCUGCCGGAGGCCAUUGCUAUCGGAGUCCGAUUUAGCCAUGCUAGUCGCACGAGUUCAGACUCGUGGCGGAAAGCUCAGUGACACGUGGCCAAACUACCCUAUGGACGGAACUAACCUCGGGAAACUGAGGCUAAUGUCCGAUACGGCUCCCACGCUGGAACGCGGGGAGCCGGAAACGCUCCGGCGCCAUAGGAUGUGGCUGCGGCCGAUUAGGUAGACGGUGGGGUAACGGCCCACCGUGCCGAUAAUCGGUAUGGGUCAUGAGAGUGAGAACCCAGAGACGGUAUCUGAGACAAGAUACCGGGCCCUACGGGGCGCAGCAGGCGCGAAACCUUUACACUGCACGACAGUGCGAUAAGGGGACUCCGAGUGCGAGGGCAUACAGUCCUCGCUUUUCUGUACCGUAGGGUGGUACAGGAACAAGUGCUGGGCAAGACCGGUGCCAGCCGCCGCGGUAAUACCGGCAGCACGAGUGAUGGCCGAUAUUAUUGGGCCUAAAGCGUCCGUAGCUGGCCGGACAAGUCCGUUGGGAAAUCCACCCGCUUAACGGGUGGGCGUCCAGCGGAAACUGUCCGGCUUGGAGCCGGAAGACCUGAGGGGUACGUCCGGGGUAGGAGUGAAAUCCCGUAAUCCUGGACGGACCGCCGGUGGCGAAAGCGCCUCAGGAGGACGGACUCGACAGUGAGGGACGAAAGCCAGGGUCUCGAACCGGAUUAGAUACCCGGGUAGUCCUGGCUGUAAACGAUGUCGCUAGGGGGGUGGGCGCAGGCUACGAGCCUGCGCUUGUGCCGUAGGGAAGCCGUGGAAGCGGACCGCCUGGGGAAGUACGUCCGCAAGGAUGAAACUUAAAGGAAUUGGCGGGGGAGCACUACAACCGGAGGAGCCUGCGGUUUAAUUGGACUCAACGCCGGACAUCUCACCAGCAUCGACUGUAG